GAGGAAUAUUGGUCAAUGGGCGAGAGUCUGAACCAGCCAAGUAGCGUGAAGGAUGACUGCCCUAUGGGUUGUAAACUUCUUUUAUACGGGAAUAAAGUGAGGUACGUGUGCCUUUUUGUAUGUACCGUAUGAAUAAGGAUCGGCUAACUCCGUGCCAGCAGCCGCGGUAAUACGGAGGAUCCGAGCGUUAUCCGGAUUUAUUGGGUUUAAAGGGAGCGUAGGCGGACGCUUAAGUCAGUUGUGAAAGUUUGCGGCUCAACCGUAAAAUUGCAGUUGAUACUGGGUGUCUUGAGUACAGUAGAGGCAGGCGGAAUUCGUGGUGUAGCGGUGAAAUGCUUAGAUAUCACGAAGAACUCCGAUUGCGAAGGCAGCCUGCUGGACUGUAACUGACGCUGAUGCUCGAAAGUGUGGGUAUCAAACAGGAUUAGAUACCCUGGUAGUCCACACAGUAAACGAUGAAUACUCGCUGUUUGCGAUAUACAGUAAGCGGCCAAGCGAAAGCGUUAAGUAUUCCACCUGGGGAGUACGCCGGCAACGGUGAAACUCAAAGGAAUUGACGGGGGCCCGCACAAGCGGAGGAACAUGUGGUUUAAUUCGAUGAUACGCGAGGAACCUUACCCGGGCUUGAAUUGCAACUGAAUGAUGUGGAGACAUGUCAGCCGCAAGGCAGUUGUGAAGGUGCUGCAUGGUUGUCGUCAGCUCGUGCCGUGAGGUGUCGGCUUAAGUGCCAUAACGAGCGCAACCCUUAUCGAUAGUUACCAUCAGGUUAUGCUGGGGACUCUGUCGAGACUGCCGUCGUAAGAUGUGAGGAAGGUGGGGAUGACGUCAAAUCAGCACGGCCCUUACGUCCGGGGCUACACACGUGUUACAAUGGGGGGUACAGAAGGCAGCUACACGGCGACGUGAUGCUAAUCCCGAAAGCCUCUCUCAGUUCGGAUUGGAGUCUGCAACCCGACUCCAUGAAGCUGGAUUCGCUAGUAAUCGCGCAUCAGCCACGGCGCGGUGAAUACGUUCCCG
rnacentral:rRNA from 1 species